rnacentral:ribozyme from 13 species
UUGUUUUUUUUUUUUUUUUUUUUUUUUUUUAAAAUAAAAAAAAAAGAUUCAUCAAUUUUAU